AACGCACCUUGCGCUCCUUGGUAUUCCUUGGAGCAUGCCUGUUUGAGUAUCAUGAAAUCUUCAAAAUCAAGCUUUUUGUUAAUUCAAUUGGUCUGAUUUUGGUAUUGGAGGUCUUUGCAGCUUCACACCUGCUCCUCUUUGUGUAUUAGCUGGAUCUCAGUGUUAUGCUUGGUUCCACUCAGCGUGAUAAAUUAUCUAUCGCUGAGGACACUGUAAAAAGUGGCCAAGGUAAAUGCAGAUGAACCGCUUCUAAUAGUCCAUUGACUUGGACACUAUUAUUAUGAUCUGAUCUCAAAUCAGGUAGGACUACCCGCUGAACUUAA
rnacentral:misc_RNA from 1 species